rnacentral:rRNA from 1 species
GAUGAACGCUGGCGGUAUGCUUAACACAUGCAAGUCGAACGGACUCUUCGGAGUUAGUGGCGGACGGGUGAGUAACGCGUGAGAAUCUGGCUUUGGGUUCGGGACAACCACUGGAAACGGUGGCUAAUACCGGAUGUGCCGAGAGGUAAAAGAGAAAUUGCCUGAAGAUGAGCUCGCGUCUGAUUAGCUAGUUGGUGAGGUAAAGGCUCACCAAGGCAGCGAUCAGUAGCUGGUCUGAGAGGAUGACCAGCCACACUGGGACUGAGACACAGCCCAGACUCCUACGGGAGGCAGCAGUGGGGAAUUUUCCGCAAUGGGCGAAAGCCUGACGGAGCAAUACCGCGUGAGGGAAGAAGGCUCUUGGGUUGUAAACCUCUUUUCUUAGGGAAGAACAAAAUGACGGUACCUAAGGAAUCAGUAUCGGCUAACUCCGUG